AUUGAACGCUAGCGGGAUGCCUUACACAUGCAAGUCGAACGGAGUGGCGAACGGGUGAGUAAUGUAUAGGAACGUGCCCAGUAGUGGGGGAUAACUACGCGAAAGCGUAGCUAAUACCGCAUACUAUUGGAGCGGCCGAGAUCGGAUUAGCUAGUUGGUGGGGUAACGGCGUACCAAGGCGACGAUCCGUAACUGGUUUGAGAGGACGAUCAGCCAAACUGGAACUGAGACACGGCCCAGACUCCUACGGGAGGCAGCAGUGGGGAAUAUUGGACAAUGGGGGAAAGCCUGAUCCAGCCAUGCCGCGUGUGCGAAGAAGGUCUGCGGGUUGUAAAGCACUUUAAGCAGGGAGGCGGUACCUACAGAAUAAGCACCGGCUAACUUCGUGCCAGCAGCCGCGGUAAUUC
rnacentral:rRNA from 1 species